rnacentral:misc_RNA from 1 species
GAUGAAGAACGUAGCGAAAUGCGAUAAGUAAUGUGAAUUGCAGAAUUCCGUGAAUCAUCGAAUCUUUGAACGCACAUUGCGCCCCUUGGUACUCCAUGGGGCAUGCCUGUUCGAGCGUCAUUUACACCCUCAAGCUCAGCUUGGUGUUGGGCGUCUGUCCCGCUUCGUGCGCGGACUCGCCUCAAAUGCAUUGGCAGCGGUCUUGCCAGCUUCUCGCGCAGCACAUUGCGCUUCUAGAGGCUUUGGCGGAUCGGCGUCCAUCAAGUACACCCACAGUUUGACCUCGGAUCAGGUAGGGAUACCCGCUGAACUUAAGCAUAUCAAUAAGCGGAGGA